GACGAACGCUGGCGGCGUGCUUAACACAUGCAAGUCGAACGAUGAAGAAAAGAAUUGAAGCUUCGGCAGAAAUUCAUUUCGGAUUAGUGGCAGACGGGUGAGUAACGCGUGAGCAACCUACCUCUUACAAAGGGAUAGCCUCGGGAAACCGGGAUUAAUACCAUAUAACAUUGCGACGAAGCAUUUCGAUGCAAUCAAAGCUACGGCGGUAAGAGAUGGGCUCGCGUCCCAUUAACCAGAUGGUGAGGUAACGGCUCACCAUAGUAACGAUGGGUAACCGGCCUGAGGGGGUGAACGGUCACACUGGAACUGAGACACGGUCCAGACUCCUACGGGAGGCAGCAGUGGGGAAUAUUGCACAAUGGAGGGAACUCUGAUGCAGCGACGCCGCGUGAGUGAUGAAGGAAUUCGUUUCGUAAAACUCUGUUCUAUGGGAAGAAAAGGACUGUACCAUAGGAGAAAGCUCCGGCUAAAUACGUG
rnacentral:rRNA from 1 species